CAGCAGUAGGGAAUCUUCCGCAAUGGACGAAAGUCUGACGGAGCAACGCCGCGUGAGUGAUGAAGGUUUUCGGAUCGUAAAGCUCUGUUGUUAGGGAAGAACAAGUGCCGUUCAAAUAGGGCGGCACCUUGACGGUACCUAACCAGAAAGCCACGGCUAACUACGUGCCAGCAGCCGCGGUAAUACGUAGGUGGCAAGCGUUGUCCGGAAUUAUUGGGCGUAAAGGGCUCGCAGGCGGUUUCUUAAGUCUGAUGUGAAAGCCCCCGGCUCAACCGGGGAGGGUCAUUGGAAACUGGGGAACUUGAGUGCAGAAGAGGAGAGUGGAAUUCCACGUGUAGCGGUGAAAUGCGUAGAGAUGUGGAGGAACACCAGUGGCGAAGGCGACUCUCUGGUCUGUAACUGACGCUGAGGAGCGAAAGCGUGGGGAGCGAACAGGAUUAGAUAA
rnacentral:rRNA from 1 species